rnacentral:rRNA from 1 species
CCUACGGGGGGCAGCAGUGAGGAAUAUUGGUCAAUGGACGAGAGUCUGAACCAGCCAAGUAGCGUGAAGGAUGACUGCCCUAUGGGUGGUAAACUUCUUUUAUAAAGGAAUAAAACGAGGCACGUGUGCCUUUUUGCAUGUACUUUAUGAAUAAGGAUCGGCUAACUCCGUGCCAGCAGCCGCGGUAAUACGGAGGAUCCGAGCGUUAUCCGGAUUUAUUGGGUUUAAAGGGAGCGUAGAUGGGUUUUUAAGUCAGUUGUGAAAGUUUGCGGCUCAACCGUAAAAUUGCAAUUGAUACUGGCAGUCUUGAGUACAGUUGAGGUAAGCGGAAUUCGUGGUGUAGCGGUGAAAUGCUUAGAUAUCACGAAGAACCCCGAUUGCGAAGGCAGCUUACUAAACUGUGACUGACAUUGAUGCUCGAAAGUGUGGGUAUCAAACAGGAUUAGAUACCCUAGUAGUC